CCUACGGGCGGCAGCAGUGAGGAAUAUUGGUCAAUGGGCGCGAGCCUGAACCAGCCAAGUAGCGUGAAGGAUGACGGCCCUACGGGUUGUAAACUGCUUUUAUAAAGGAAUAAAGUGAGGCACGUGUGCCUUUUUGUAUGUACUUUAUGAAUAAGGAUCGGCUAACUCCGUGCCAGCAGCCGCGGUAAUACGGAGGAUCCGAGCGUUAUCCGGAUUUAUGUGGUGUAAAGGGAGCGUAGAGGGGUUGUUAAGUCAGUUGUGACAGUUUGCGGCUCAACCGUAAAAUUGCAAUUGAUACUGGCAGCCUUGAGUACAGUUGCGGUAGGCGGCAUUC
rnacentral:rRNA from 1 species